CGCCAGAGCAGGUAAAAGCCCUGUAACCGAAAGCAAGCACCCUCCGAGACGGAUCCUGAGUACGGCGGGACACGUGAAACCCCGUCGGAAUCCGGCAGGACCAUCUGCCAAGGCUAAAUACUCCCUGGUGACCGAUAGUGAAGCAGUACCGUGAGGGAAAGGUGAAAAGCACCGCGGAAGCGGAGUGAAAAAGAACCUGAAACCGUGCGCUUACAAAAAGUCAGAGCCCGUUAAAUGGGUGAUGGCGUGCCUUUUGUAGAAUGAACCGGCGAGUUACGAUCACGUGCAAGGUUAAGUCGGGAAGACGGAGCCGUAGCGAAAGCGAGUCUGAAUAGGGCGAAUAAGUACGUGGUCGUAGACCCGAAACCGUGUGAUCUACCCCUGUCCAGGGUGAAGGUGCGGUAACACGCACUGGAGGCCCGAACCCACGCACGUUGAAAAGUGCGGGGAUGAGGUGGGGGUAGCGGAGAAAUUCCAAUCGAACUCGGAGAUAGCUGGUUCUCCCCGAAAUAGCUUUAGGGCUAGCCUCGAGGAAUGAGCGUCGUGGAGGUAGAGCACUGAUUGGGUGCGGGGCCCGCCAAGGGUUACCAAGUCCAGUCAAACUCCGAAUGCCAUAGACGUGCUACUCGGGAGUCAGACAGUGAGUGCUAAGAUCCAUUGUCAAGAGGGAAACAGCCCAGAUCAUCAGCUAAGGUCCCCAAGUGUGUGUUAAGUGGGAAAGGAUGUGGAGUUGCAAAGACAACCAGGAUGUUGGCUUAGAAGCAGCCACCAUUUAAAGAGUGCGUAAUAGCUCACUGGUCGAGUGACUCUGCGCCGAAAAUGUAACGGGGCUAAACACACCACCGAAGCUAUGACAUGUACC
rnacentral:rRNA from 1 species